AAAAAAAAAAAUCUUUACUGUUCUUACACAAAUCACGGUUCAAGACUACACCCACAACAUAAACUAAAAAUGUGUGUAAAUGAAAACAGUGAAACUGACAGGAAAGUAAAGUUAAUGAUAGGAUUUGCUGCAGAACAACAGGAAUCUGCAAAUUAACCUGGAAUUUAAGUGGCAUUUAGUUUCAGCGGGUGGAAGAGUGAAUUGUGAUUCACGUUUAUGAAACUGAGCGGGUUUCCUUUCAUGACUCUCUGUUUGUUUCCACAACUGUUGACUCUGUGUGGACUUUAACUCGGUGAAAACGAAAAAAAAAAAAAAAGAAAAAAGAAAAAGAAGCUUGGCUUGAAGAGUCAAGAAAGGAACUGGUAAUUUCAUUUAUUGAGAUAAAGAAGGUAUUUAAACCUACCUGACUGUGUGUAAACAAAAUGCGUAAUAGCUGGCUUUGCUAGCUGUUAGCAGCAACAGCUAGCAUCAAAUGGCCACGAUAACUGGCAAUGGC